UGGGGAAUAUUGCACAAUGGGCGAAAGCCUGAUGCAGCAACGCCGCGUGAGUGAUGAAGGUCUUCGGAUUGUAAAGCUCUGUCUUUUGGGACGAUAAUGACGGUACCAAAGGAGGAAGCCACGGCUAACUACGUGCCAGCAGCCGCGGUAAUACGUAGGUGGCGAGCGUUGUCCGGAUUUACUGGGCGUAAAGGGUGCGUAGGCGGAUGUUUAAGUGAGAUGUGAAAUACCCGGGCUUAACUUGGGUGCUGCAUUUCAAACUGGAUAUCUAGAGUGUAGGAGAGGAGAAUGGAAUUCCUAGUGUAGCGGUGAAAUGCGUAGAGAUUAGGAAGAACACCAGUGGCGAAGGCGAUUCUCUGGACUGUAACUGACGCUGAGGCACGAAAGCGUGGGUAGCAAACAGGAUUAGAUACCCUGGUAGUCCACGCCGUAAACGAUGAGUACUAGGUGUAGGAGGUAUCGACCCCUUCUGUGCCGCAGUAAACAC
rnacentral:rRNA from 1 species